CAACGUUAUAUUUUUUCCUUAUUUAUAUCAUUGUUAAUCUGCUACUAUAAUCUUUACUCAGCACUAUCAUUCAUCCAAGCAUUUACAAAAAUGGCUAUGAACGUGAUUUCACACAACACGUCGUCGUUUUCUGUCCUCCCAGAGAGCAACGAAGAUAUUGUUGACGCUGGCGAUUUUAAAGUCGUUAAAGAUGAAAAAGAGGAUAUCCAGAAGGAGUUGAUUGCACUGGGAGCGUUGAAAUGGCGCAAGACUCCUUCCUUGGCGGAGACGUCGAGGAACGGUACGAAAGCGGCGAAGAUUGUGAACGUGAAAGUGAGUCCGAGGCCGAUUCAGCAACCGAGGUAGACCGAGUGGAGAACGUGACUCGGUGAGCUCUAGAAUGGGGGAGCCGGAGUUUUAAUAUGUAAAUUUGUUUUUGUUUGUCAUGCAUUCCUUUCUCGGUAGGUUUUAAUUUGACCGAAAGUGGCAAGAAUAAAAAUAAAAAUUAUAAUUUUCUUCGUUUCAAAA